AUUGAACGCUGGUGGCAUGCCUUACACAUGCAAGUCGAACGGUAACGGGUCCUUCGGGAUGCCGACGAGUGGCGAACGGGUGAGUAAUAUAUCGGAACGUGCCCAGUAGUGGGGGAUAACUGCUCGAAAGAGCAGCUAAUACCGCAUACGACCUGAGGGUGAAAGGGGGGGAUCGCAAGACCUCUCGCUAUUGGAGCGGCCGAUAUCAGAUUAGCUAGUUGGUGGGGUAAAGGCCUACCAAGGCAACGAUCUGUAGUUGGUCUGAGAGGACGACCAGCCACACUGGGACUGAGACACGGCCAGACUCCUACGGGAGGCAGCAGUGGGGAAUUUUGGACAAUGGGCGCAAGCCUGAUCCAGCAAUGCCGCGUGCAGGAAGAAGGCCUUCGGGUUGUAAACUGCUUUUGUCAGGGAAGAAAUCUUCUGGGCUAAUACCCCGGGAGGAUGACGGUACCUGAAGAAUAAGCACCGGCUAACUACGUGCCAGCAGCCGCGGUAAUACGUAGGGUGCGAGCGUUAAUCGGAAUUACUGGGCGUAAAGCGUGCGCAGGCGGCUUUGCAAGACAGAUGUGAAAUCCCCGGGCUCAACCUGGGAACUGCAUUUGUGACUGCAAGGCUAGAGUACGGCAGAGGGGGAUGGAAUUCCGCGUGUAGCAGUGAAAUGCGUAGAUAUGCGGAGGAACACCAAUGGCGAAGGCAAUCCCCUGGGCCUGUACUGACGCUCAUGCACGAAAGCGUGGGGAGCAAACAGGAUUAGAUACCCUGGUAGUCCACGCCCUAAACGAUGUCAACUGGUUGUUGGACGGCUUGCUGUUCAGUAACGAAGCUAACGCGUGAAGUUGACCGCCUGGGGAGUACGGCCGCAGGGUUGAAACUCAAAGGAAUUGACGGGGACCCGCACAAGCGGUGGAUGAUGUGGUUUAAUUCGAUGCAACGCGAAAAACCUUACCUACCCUUGACAUGUCAAGAAUUCUGCAGAGAUGUGGAAGUGCUCGAAAGAGAACUUGAACACAGGUGCUGCAUGGCCGUCGUCAGCUCGUGUCGUGAGAUGUUGGGUUAAGUCCCGCAACGAGCGCAACCCUUGUCAUUAGUUGCUAUGCAAGAGCACUCUAAUGAGACUGCCGGUGACAAACCGGAGGAAGGUGGGGAUGACGUCAGGUCCUCAUGGCCCUUAUGGGUAGGGCUACACACGUCAUACAAUGGCCGGUACAGAGGGCUGCCAACCCGCGAGGGGGAGCCAAUCCCAGAAAACCGGUCGUAGUCCGGAUCGUAGUCUGCAACUCGACUGCGUGAAGUCGGAAUCGCUAGUAAUCGCGGAUCAGCUUGCCGCGGUGAAUACGUUCCCGGGUCU
rnacentral:rRNA from 1 species